rnacentral:rRNA from 1 species
AUGUCGACGUUCGCCGGCGUAUCCGUCCUCGACGGCGACAAGCCGUGCUCUUGCGUAACGUCGGACGUCGGCGCCAACAGCGUGUACCACCUGCUCGUGGUCAAGGGCUACUCUCGUAUCAAAAAGGAGUUGCCCAACGGCGAGAGCUGGUGCACUGAUUUGUUCAGGGUGGGAGGCCAUGAGUAUUCCAUCGAGUACUAUCCUAACGGCGCAAACCCCAACUGUGCCGACUUCAUUUCGCUCGAUAUUACCCGUCUCUACGACGAAGAUGUCGAAGAGGGUGUGGAGGCCAAGUUCAGUUUCAGUCUGGUCGAUGACGUCGAGAAGCAGAUGCUGACGUACAUUCGUGCGACUCGUAAAACCCGUGACUUCCGCAGAUGUGAUCCUUGUUGGGGCUGCGACAAGUUCAUGAGAAGAGAUGCCCUUGAGCGAUCAGCCAGUCUAAAGUUUGAUUGUUUCACCAUCAGGUGUGAUAUUGUGGUGUGCAAGGACAACACCCCAGAUGCCACUGGCUCAGGCACCGGCACCGAGGUUCUCAUGCCUGACAUACACCAACAUUUUAGCAACCUCCUUCAGAAUAAGGUGGGUGCUGAUGUGACAUUCGAGGUCGGCGGCGAGACAUUUGCUGCACACCGGUGUGUGCUCGCUGCCAGGUCUGAAGUGUUCAUGGCGCAGCUCUUUGGCACCGCGACGCCCAGCAUCAUACAGAUCACAGAUAUGGAAGCAAAAGUGUUCAGGGCUUUGCUUUGCUUCAUCUACACAGACUCGUGUCCUGAGAUGGAGAAGAACAGCAUGGAGGAGGAUGAAAUGCCAGGAGUUGUGGAACAAGGACAAGUAGAGGAAGUACUGGAGGAUAAAAUGUCAGAAGUUGAGGAACAAACACAAGAAGAGGCGGUAGAGGAUGAAAUUCUUCUGCAAUGGCUGCAGGACUUGUUUGUGGCGGCAGACAGAUACAAUCUCCAGCGGCUCAAGUUCAUCUGUGAAAAGCAGUUGUGUGAGCAUGUAGGUGUGAGCUCCGUGGCGUCCACUCUUGCUCUAGCCGAGCAGCACCACUGCCAUGGAUUGAAGGCGGCGUGCUUGAAGUUUAUCCAAGUCCUAUCUCCCUCGCGUUUGCAGACACUAAUGGCAACUGAUGGAUGGGGGCAUAUAGCAACGACAUACCCCUCUGUUUUGUACGAGCUCAUUGCCAUCCUUGCGUCAAACCAGCGGAAAUGA